rnacentral:RNase_P_RNA from 1 species
GUCGGCUGGGCAAACCCCAUCCGGAGCAAGGCCAAAUAGAGGGACAAAGGGACGCCCGGCCCGUUCCCUGGGUUGGCCGCUUGACCCUGAUGGUAACAUCAGGGCUAGAUAGAUGGUCACCGCUCCGCCUUCGGGCGGAGUACAGAACUCGGCUUACAGGUUUACUUGACCC